rnacentral:rRNA from 1 species
UACGUAGGGGGCAAGCGUUGUCCGGAUUUACUGGGCGUAAAGAGCGUGUAGGCGGCCAAGCAGGUCCGUUGUGAAAACUGGAGGCUUAACCUCCAGACGUCGACGGAAACCGCGUGGCUAGAGUCCGGAAGAGGAGAGUGGAAUUCCUGGUGGUAGCGGUGAAAUGCGCAGAUAUCAGGAAGAACACCAAUGGCGAAGGCAGCUCUCUGGGACGGUACUGACGCUGAGACGCGAAAGCGUGGGGAGCGAACAGG